rnacentral:lncRNA from 1 species
AAGAGGCACUGCAGCACAUAUUACCCGAGGUUCUUUGAGAACUGCUGCUGCAUGUGCUAUCGGAGGUGCUUUGAAAGAAACGACUGCACAUGCCACCCAAGAUCCUCUGAGAGCCACUAUUGCACAUGCUACCCGAGGUGCUUCAAGAGGUGCUGCUGCAUGUGCCAUCGGAAGGGUUUUAAGUGGUGCUGCAGCACCUGCUACCCAAGGUGCUUCCAGGGGUGCUGCUGCACCUGCUACGGAAGAUGCUCUGAAAGGUGUUGGUGCAUGUGCUAUUCGAGAUGCUGCCAAAGGUGCUCCUGCAUAUGCCGUGCCACAAUCAGGUUGGGCUUUAUCCCAGUUGCAGGUGCUUCCCAAGAAACGCAAGAAAAAAAGCUAUAAACUUAGAUCUUCAGGUAGUCCGGAAAGAAAGAAAAAGAGACCCAGUGAAGCAGAGCACAAAUGGGUGUCAUACAGUGUCACAAAUGCUCCUCAAGUUCAGCAAGGAUACCCAUGGAAUGGCUUCCCCAAACCUGAUAUUCCAAGGCCUCUGAGACGUAAGAUCCCUGUGUUGCUACCACCCCAUAGUCGAGGUGUUCUGCCCCAACCCCCAAAACAAUGGUUUCAUAUCACUGUACACAACUGUGGCCUAGAGAAGGAAACUGCACCUUGAAGGGUAAGUGGAAGGCUGUGUAGACAGCAAUUCCACACAGCUUUCCUGUUUUCUGCUGUGUCUGCUGCAGGAACCUUCUUCAGCACCUUUCCCUUCGGUCCCAUCACUCAUUCAGAGGGAAGAGAGAAGUAGGAAGAUUAAGAUCUCUAAGCCUGGUUUUCAUAAUAUGCUCCAAUGGCUGCCUCUGGGGGCCAUUUUUCUUGGUUCCCCCUAAAUCCCACUUUGCUUUGUCCGAAUAUAAAGAAACAGAUUUAUGUCCCCCAAGUACCGGCCUGCUUGGUCUUUGCAAGUAAUUUACCCUAGCUUUGCUCUUCGGUCAGCCCAAGAAACUCAUCUGGCCUAUGGAAAAUGUGGUAGAUCCACUAAGCUUGAUAACUCUACCCAGAGAGACAGUAUUCUAAUCUCACCCACUUCAUGCUACAGCAAGGCAAAGUUGAGUGAUUGGUGUAUGUUGGUCUAACCCCGUGGAUCCUGGAACAUAAAGGGGAGCUUCAGGUUGAUUUUCCUCUAGGUGUCAAUCAGGGUGGCUACUGCUGAUGGAGAUGCUACUUCUGCCUCAUCCGGUGCUUAUUUGGGCAAAAUAAAUUCACACUCACACACACACACACACACACACACACACACAACUGCUUGAUGUAAAAAAUGAGUUAUCUGUCCUCACGAAACACACAUACACAAACCAAGAUGGUCUAGAUCAGCAGUUCUCAACCUUCCUAAUGCCACCACUCUUUAGCACAGUUCUUCACCUUGUGUUCUUUCAAUGCUACUUUGUAACUAUAGUUUUGCUACUGUUAUGAAUUGUAAUAUAAAUAUCUGAUACUUUCAAUGGUCUUAGGUGACACCUGUGAAAGGGUCAUUUGGUCCCCAAAGGGUUCGUGACCCACAGAUUGAGGACUGCUAGUCUAGAUUAAUCUUCAUAUGGCCUCUAUGAUAUCAAAUACUCUGUAGUUAUUAACCUCCCUUUAUUUCUCUUCACAUACUCUUAUUUGUGUCUUUUACAGGUGCCAAGGCCUGGGGUCACUAAAUGACCUGUGCAUAGCCACAUGUCACUGAGCACUUAACACUGAUCUUCAAUUCUGAGCAUCCAGUUUUUUAUACUCUAUAAAUUUAGUAUAAUAUCACAUUCUAUGUUAGCGUCAUUUUGACACUUAAAUAAAAUUGUUAUCCAGU